AUGUACCCAUAGUCGCGCAAGCGCGCCGAACACAUGUAGGAAAGUUGCCAAAUUUUCAAAUUAUUUUUUCUAACCACAUAAACAUUAACUGAAGAUUCACAAACAGCACGUCGAGAAGGAAAAUCGAAGUUCAUCUUCACUAACCCCAGGGUAUUUUGACCGGCCUUGCAGAUUGGGUAAUUUAUUCUUUCUUUUAUCAGAUAUGAUUUCAGACUUUUACCCACCUUGAUGUAUAACCCUACGCUUGUUACUGGAUAAUAUCGGUGGUUCAGUGGAACGGAAGACUUUUAUACUUCCAUGAGAAGAGUAAAGACAAGAUAUAUUAGAGAGACGAAAGAGUGGGAUGGAGACUCAGAAGGAUCUUUUGAUCAUUGCUUCAGUAUUUCUGCCAAUCGUCAGAAUCGGUCAUUCCUUUCAAUGUCAUAGUUAUCCGGCUCUCCACACCCGCUUCUUAAUAACCACCUAGACAGUUCAAAAUUUAUUCAGCAUAUUUAUUAAUAUUUGUAGGCGUGACUCGUUCGUACCAAUAACAAAGUUUAGCUAACAUAAAUCAAAUCUUAGAAAAAAUAAGCAAGAAACAAAGGGAGAUUCCAAACCUCUUAGAAAUUAUCGAAUAGGUAGUUUAAGGAACUAGCAUUGUUUGCUAUGUGAAAAUCAAAAUUUGAAUAACAAUGCGGACAUCCUUAUGUGUUGCAUAACAAUUCAGGUUCACCGGUAUAGAUGUAAAAACUCCACUUAAAAAAUUUGUGACAUCGAUGCAAAUAGGAGAAACACAAAUGAAAAAAAAACAGACCAAAUUGUAUUAGUUUUACAUCACUGUCGUAAUUUUGAAGUUAUGCUAAUCUCUUUGAUUUAGAAUCAUGAUAACCAGUUUCUUGUGGUAAUAAUUAUGAAGACAAAAAAAAAUCUAUUUAGCAUAUAAUUGACACACAAAUUUUGGUAUAAUAAUCAGGCUCCAGCAAAGAUUAUGAUAAACUGAUUCAGCAUAUUUGAAUUGCUUUACGUUUGCGGUUUCUUUGUGAAUAUCAUGGUUUUUCCAUUUUUUUUCAAAUUAGAAGACAAGGAAUUGCCUUGUCUUAAGGUGACCGCUGAAUGUAUUGGCCAACUUUUAACACGAGAGCAUUUCUCACAACACUGUGAGUGACGCUAAUUAGAAUAGUCAAUCAGAAUAACCCGGAGAACUGAUAAACACACCGUCGACCUUCAUUGAAAAAAAAAUUAUCUGAUUAUAGAACUAGUUGAAAUACUAAUUAGAUCAUUGACUGAAGAUUGCGAUUAGAUAAACAAAAUUUACCAGCAG
rnacentral:misc_RNA from 1 species